AACGAACGCUGGCGGCGUGCCUAACACAUGCAAGUCGAGCGCGAAAGGGGUAACCCGAGUAGAGCGGCGCACGGGUGCGUAACACGUGGGUAAUCUGCCUCGAGGAGCCGGAUAACCAUCCGAAAGGAUGGCUAAUACGGCAUAAGCCCCCGGAGUCUUCGGACUCUGAGGGAAAAGGGUGGCCUCUGUUUACAAGCUACCGCCCUGAGAUGAGCCCGCGGCCCAUCAGCUAGUUGGCGGGGUAAUGGCCCACCAAGGCAACGACGGGUAGCUGGUCUGAGAGGACGAUCAGCCACACUGGAACUGAGACACGGUCCAGACUCCUACGGGAGGCAGCAGUGGGGAAUUUUGCGCAAUGGGCGAAAGCCUGACGCAGCAACGCCGCGUGUGUGAUGAAGGUCUUCGGAUUGUAAAGCACUUUCGACCGGGACGAAAAAGCGGGUGCUAAUCAGCCCGCCUUGACGGUACCGGGAGAAGAAGCACCGGCUAACUCUGUGCCAGCCGCCGCCGUAACAC
rnacentral:rRNA from 1 species